GCCUGGGUGGCUCAGUCAGUUAAGCACCUGACUUUGGCUCAGGUCAUGAUCUCGCGGUCCGUGAGUUCAAGCCCCAUGUCAGGCU
rnacentral:tRNA from 1 species